CGAGGGUUGCGGUCAGUUCGUGUCGCAGCUAACGCAUUAAGCACUCCGCCUGGGGAGUACGACCGCGCGGUUGAAACUCUCAGGAAUUGACGGGGACCCGCACAAGCGGUGGAGCAUGUGGUUUAAUUUUAAUCUACGCGAAGAACCUUACCAGGUCUUGACAUCCUUUGAGACCACCUGAGAUAAGGCGUUCCCUUCGGGGACAAGGUGACAGGUGGUGCAUGGUUGUCGUCCGCUCGUGUCGCGAGAUGUUGGGUUAAAUCCCGCAACGAGCGCACCCCUUAUUAUUAUUUGCCAUCAUUCAGUUGGGCACUCUAUUGAGACUGCCGGUGAUAAACCGGAGGAAGGUGGGGACGACGUCAAAUCAUCAUGCCCCUUAUGACCUGGGCUACACACGUGCUACUAUGGUGGGUACAACGAGUCGCUAACCCGCGAGGGUACGCUAAUCUCUUAAAGCCUGUCUCAUUUCGGAUUGUAGGCUGCAACUCGCCUACAUGAAGUCGGAAUCGCUAGUAAUCGCGGAUCAGAACGCCGCGGUGAAU
rnacentral:rRNA from 1 species